rnacentral:rRNA from 1 species
UACGAACGCUGGCGGCGGGCUUAACACAUGCAAGUCGAGCGGGCGUAGCAAUACGUCAGCGGCAGACGGGUGAGUAACGCGUGGGAACGUACCUUUUGGUUCGGAACAACACAGGGAAACUUGUGCUAAUACCGGAUAAGCCCUUACGGGGAAAGAUUUAUCGCCGAAAGAUCGGCCCGCGUCUGAUUAGCUAGUUGGUGAGGUAACGGCUCACCAAGGCGACGAUCAGUAGCUGGUCUGAGAGGAUGAUCAGCCACAUUGGGACUGAGACACGGCCCAAACUCCUACGGGAGGCAGCAGUGGGGAAUAUUGGACAAUGGGCGCAAGCCUGAUCCAGCCAUGCCGCGUGAGUGAUGAAGGCCCUAGGGUUGUAAAGCUCUUUUGUGCGGGAAGAUAAUAACGGUACCGCAAGAAUAAGCCCCGGCUAACUUCGUGCCAGCAGCCGCGGUAAUACGAAGGGGGCUAGCGUUGCUCGGAAUCACUGGGCGUAAAGGGUGCGUAGGCGGGUUUUUAAGUCAGGGGUGAAAUCCUGGAGCUCAACUCCAGAACUGCCCUUGAUACUGA